rnacentral:rRNA from 1 species
CCCUUAGAUGUCCUGGGCUGCACGCGCGCUACACUGGAAGUUACGGAUUGAGAUACUACCUUGUCCGAAAUGGUCCGGGUAAUCACCUAAAAGCUUGUCAUAAUUGGAAUGGAUUAUUGUAACUAGUAAUCCUGAACGAGGAAUUCCUAGUAAGUCCCAGUCAACAGCUGGUACUGAUUACGUCCCUGCCCUUUGUACACACCGCCCGUCGCUACUACUGAUUGGACGUUUAAGCAAGAUUUUUAAACACUGACAGUGUGUAGUUCACGCUAUACUACAGUGAGAAGGAGAAGAUCGAGCUUACUUGUCUAGAGGAAGUAAAAGUCGUAACA